rnacentral:rRNA from 1 species
GACGAACGCUGGCGGCGUGCUUAACACAUGCAAGUCGAACGGAAAGGCCCUGCUUGCAGGGUACUCGAGUGGCGAACGGGUGAGUAACACGUGGGUGAUCUGCCCUGCACUUCGGGAUAAGCCUGGGAAGCUGGGUCUAAUACCGGAUAGGAGCCAUUUUUAGUGUGAUGGUUGGAAAGUUUUUUCGGUGUAGGAUGAGCUCGCGGCCUAUCAGCUUGUUGGUGGGGUAAUGGCCUACCAAGGCGGCGACGGGUAGCCGGCCUGAGAGGGUGGACGGCCACAUUGGGACUGAGAUACGGCCCAGACUCCUACGGGAGGCAGCAGUGGGGAAUAUUGCACAAUGGGCGCAAGCCUGAUGCAGCGACGCCGCGUGGGGGAUGACGGCCUUCGGGUUGGAAACUCCUUUCGCUAGGGACGAAGCUUUUUGUGACGGUACCUAGAUAAGAAGCACCGGCUAACUACGUG